UACGUAGGGUGCGAGCGUUUAAUCGGAAUUACUGGGCGUAAAGCGUGCGCAGGCGGUUUUGUAAGCCAGAUGUGAAAUCCCCGGGCUCAACCUGGGAAUGGCAUUUGGGACUGCAAGGCUGGAGUGCGGCAGAGGAGACUGGAAUUCCUGGUGUAGCAGUGAAAUGCGUAGAGAUGUGGAGGAACACCGAUGGCGAAGGCAGCCUCCUGGGCCAACACUGACGCUCAUGCACGAAAGCGUGGGGAGCAAACAGG
rnacentral:rRNA from 1 species